rnacentral:rRNA from 1 species
GGGGUAGGCCCCUAAGCGACAGGUGCGUGCAUGGUCGUCGUCAGCUCGUGCCGUGAGGUGUUGGGUUAAGUCCCGCAACGAGCGCAACCCCGCCGUUAGUUGCCAGCGGUUCGGCCGGGCACUCUAACGGGGACUGCCCGCGAAAGCGGGAGGAAGGAGGGGACGACGUCUGGUCAGCAUGGCCCUUACGGCCUGGGCGACACACGUGCUACAAUGCCCACUACAAAGCGAUGCCACCCGGCAACGGGGAGCUAAUCGCAAAAAGGUGGGCCCAGUUCGGAUUGGGGUCUGCAACCCGACCCCAUGAAGCCGGAAUCGCUAGUAAUCGCGGAUCAGCCAUGCCGCGGUGAAUACGUUCCCGGGCCUU